rnacentral:rRNA from 1 species
GACGUAGGGCGCGAGCGUUGUCCGGAUUUAUUGGGCGUAAAGAGCUCGUAGGCGGCUUGUUGCGUCAGCUGUGAAAACCCGCAGCUCAACUGUGGGCUUGCAGCUGAUACGGGCAGGCUUGAGUUCGGUAGGGGAGACUGGAAUUCCAGGUGUAGCGGUGAAAUGCGCAGAUAUCAGGAGGAACACCGGUGGCGAAGGCGGGUCUCUGGGCCGAUACUGACGCUGAGGAGCGAAAGCGUGGGGAGCGAACAGG